GUUUGUGUUUCAGCUACAGAUAAGGCGUUCGUGAUAUUGAUGGCGAAGGUCAGCUUUUAUCUUUAUCGUCUGUGUGGGGCAGUCCUUGAACUUGGAAUAUUGCGCUUAAAGAAGUGAAACGGAAAAGUAAAGCAAAAGUAAGUAAAAUAGAAACAAAUACAUGAAAACAUAAUAUUUUCUAUUUUCUAAAUUUCGCUUUUAAUUGUGCUGUCAAUG
rnacentral:lncRNA from 1 species